rnacentral:rRNA from 1 species
UACGGAGGGUGCAAGCGUUGUUCGGAAUUACUGGGCGUAAAGCGCGCGUAGGCGGCUUUGCAAGUCGGGUGUGAAAUCCCCAGGCUUAACCUGGGAACUGCAUUCGAGACUGCAUUGCUAGAGUAUGGGAGAGGGAAGUGGAAUUUCCGGUGUAGCGGUGAAAUGCGUAGAUAUCGGAAGGAACACCUGUGGCGAAAGCGGCUCACUGGACCACAACUGACGCUGAGGCGCGAAAGCUAGGGGAGCAAACAGG